GUAAAGCACUUUCAGUAGGGAGGAAGGUAGUGUAGUUAACACCUGCACUAUUUGACGUUACCUACAGAAGAAGCACCGGCUAACUCCGUGCCAGCAGCCGCGGUAAUACGGGAGGGUGCGAGCGUUAAUCGGAAUUACUGGGCGUAAAGCGCAUGCAGGCGGCCUGUUAAGUCAGAUGUGAAAGCCCGGGGCUUAACCUCGGAAUUGCAUUUGUAAACUGGCAGGCUAGAGUCUUGUAGAGGGGGGUAGGAAUUUCAGGUGUAGCGGUGAAAUGCGUAGAGAUCUGAAGGAAUACCAGUGGCGAAGGCGGCCCCCUGGACAAAGACUGACGCUCAGAUGCGAAAGCGUGGGGAGCAAACAGGAUUAGAUACCCUGGUAG
rnacentral:rRNA from 1 species